rnacentral:lncRNA from 1 species
UUUUAAUUAAUUUAUAAUGUAAUUUUGAUUAAUUUAUUUAUUAACUUAUUAAAAUAUUAUUUACUAAUACUUAGGUGCUUAAUAUUUAGAUAAAUUAGUUUUAUUUUCAAUCAUAAUUACUCUUAUCCCUACUAUUCCAACCCAAUCAACCAAACGUAAUUUUUCUUAUUCCUCUAAAUAUCUCGAUGCUCGUCCAAACACAAAAUUGAACUAAUUCCUGCCUAUCACAAAAGUUACACCUAUCCCAAAAAUAAACAAAAAUUGGUUGUUCUCGAACCAAACGGUACCUAAAAGUCUAAAAUUUAAAAAAUAAUUAAUUAAUUCUGAAUUUGUCAUAAUCCACUAAAAAUAUAGAACUAAAGACAGAGAAAUUUUUUUUGGUUUAAUCCAUUCAAUCUACUAAAAAUUUAUCAAACAAUCGCUCCUGUCUCGACCAACCUCGAAUUAAGCAACAAGAGAAUGCAAAAUAUAGGAUAAAAAUUAAUUCAUUCUGAAUCCUUCCCCGGCCCUAAAUUUGUCUUAUUUGCAUC